UACGUAGGUGGCGAGCGUUGUCCGGAAUUACUGGGCGUAAAGGAUGCGUAGGUGGAUACUUAAGUGGGAUGUGAAAUCCCCGGGCUCAACCCGGGAACUGCAUUCCAAACUGGGUAUCUAGAGUGCAGGAGAGGAAAGCGGAAUUCCUAGUGUAGCGGUGAAAUGCGUAGAUAUUAGGAGGAACACCAGUGGCGAAGGCGGCUUUCUGGACUGUAACUGACACUGAGGCAUGAAAGCGUGGGUAGCAAACAGGAUUAGAUACCCUGGUAGUCCACGCCGUAAACGAUGGGUACUAGGUGUAGGAGGUAUCGACCCCUUCUGUGCCGUCGUUAACACAAUAAGUACCCCGCCUGGGGAGUACGGUCGCAAGACUAAA
rnacentral:rRNA from 1 species